rnacentral:piRNA from 1 species
UGACAGACCCAUGUCUUAGGUGCACAUGU